CAGGAGCGUGGGAAGACUCCAGAAUCCACUCUGACUGGAAUCCGGUGGAUACAGCAGUGUUACAGAACAGUUCGCCACAGUCGCUGUCCACAUGGGUCAGUGGGACCAAGCAGCACUCUGCUAAUGUGAGACUCUGAUCAGCAACAUCCAGCAAGACCCAGACAGCGUUUUCUAUCUCCCAGCUGGAGUUUUUUGUUUGUCUGUGACUGGAGAGUCAGAUUUUUGUUGAAGCUGGAGGAACAGAGAGGUUAAUACACGCUACUGAUCCCUGAUGGGAGAAUCUUCACCUCUGCCAACAAAGAAGCCUGGUGGAUGUUUGUUUGCAGUCUGAUGAUGGGACAUCAUGCUCUGCAUCUUCAAAGUUUGUCUCUUGAUUAUUAUUCAUACACAGUAAUGUGAAGCAUGCUCAUAUCUAGUAUAACUGGACCAACGUGGUGCUCUUCAUUUAUGGAGGCUGUUGAGUCUGAAUGUUGGAUGUUGUGUAUCUCGUGUUCUCUGGGCUUUGUUGUCCUCAGUCUUUUUGCAGAAUCAGAAAACAAAACCAGGAGGCGCGUAAAUGUUUCUUCUCCAAUUGGAUGAUGAUAAGACCGUGAGGUCUGUCAGCGUGCUGAGGUCACAGAAACAAGAAAAGCAGCUUGACUUCAGAGUGUUGUUUACAGUUUUUUGUCAUCAUGAUCUCCCCUGAAGUUUAUCACUAUUAGGCAAGCAAGCAGAGCGGCACUUUGUGCUCACAGAUGGUGACGGUGUGGAGAGACGGUGGUGUUUCCUCAGAAGAACUAGCAGAGUCACCAAGGGCACGAGUCCAUCUCACCACCUUGACUUGUUGAUCAGUGGAUACACUUGUCUCCCCUUUAAAGGAGAUACUCUUAGAGAGAGACGAUCCGAGUCAUCCUUAAAUAUGGGCAGGAUAUCACUAUUAGACUGUCUAACCUGCCGGAGCAGCACUGAAUGAUCACCACACAUGAUCAGUUCCUACAACAUUCAGCAGCUCUGCUUUUGUGUCAAAUGUCCAACAACUGGAGAGGAAACUACACCAGUGUACUGGGAUGUUUCACCAACACGUGCCAGAUGCUGUUCCUUCAUGGUGACAUCACCAGAGACGGCCCCGCCCACCUCAUGACCUCGCCAUUGAUCAUGAUGAUUUUAAUGAUGACAGCGAGCGGAACUAAGACUGUAAAAAUCAGAAUGUUUAGAUGCUUUCUAAUUAUUAAUGAAUACUGAGAGCCUCUUUCUGUUUUGUCUGUUUGUUUGUUUUUACCUCAUUUGUUACUAACAAAGUUCACCAAACUCACACAGUUUACAUUCUGGAUGUUUCCAUCUUUACCAGCCACACUCUACCCGCAAUUAAGAAAAUAAUCCUUAGAAAUUGUCGUUUUUCUCUUUUGUAAUUGAUGAUAAUUCAGUGAAUAUACUGCGCUGCUUCCUUUUGUUUCGUCUCACAUUGCUAUAAGUUUUUCCAGUGUCCAGCUAUUUUUUACUGCUGUUUGAAUUCUCUGUAUGUUUGACCCUGUAGACUGUUUGAUGGACUGCUUGUCUUCCUGUUUGUAACCGCCGCCUGUUUUUGACUAAAGA